rnacentral:rRNA from 1 species
UGGGGAAUCUUGCACAAUGGGGGAAGCCCUGAUGCAGCGACGCCGCGUGAACGAUGAAGCCCUUCGGGGUGUAAAGUUCUUUCGACAGGAACGAUAAUGACGGUACCUGGAGAAGAAGCUGCGGCUAACUACGUGCCAGCAGCCGCGGUAAUACGUAGGCAGCGAGCGUUGUUCGGAGUUACUGGGCGUAAAGAGUGCGUAGGCGGCGAGCCAAGUUUGGUGUGAAAUCUCCCGGCUUAACCGGGAGGGUGCGCCGAAAACUGGUUGGCUGGAGUAUGGGAGAGGAAAGCGGAAUUCCUGGUGUAGCGGUGAAAUGCGUAGAUAUCAGGAGGAACACCUGCGGUGUAGACAGCUUUCUGGACCAAAACUGACGCUGAGGCACGAAAGCGUGGGUAGCAAACA